CCUACGGGAGGCAGCAGUGAGGAAUAUUGGUCAAUGGGCUUACGCCUGAACCAGCCAAGUCGCGUGAGGGAAGACUGCCCUAUGGGUUGUAAACCUCUUUUGUCAGGGAGCAAAGCCGGCUACGUGUCGCCGGACUGCGAGUACCUGAAGAAAAAGCAUCGGCUAACUCCGUGCCAGCAGCCGCGGUAAUACGUAGGAUUCAAGCGUUCUCCGGAUUUAUUGGGUUUAAAGGGAGCGUAGGCGGUCGGUUAAGUGAGAUGUGAAAGCCCGAGGCUCAACUGCGGAGUUGCCUUUGAUAAUGGGCGGCUAGAGAGUAGUAGAGGUAGGCGGAAUGUAUGGUGUAGCGGUGAAAUGCUUAGAGAUAAUGCAGAACACCGAUUGCGAAGGCAGCUUAC
rnacentral:rRNA from 1 species